rnacentral:rRNA from 1 species
GACGAACCACACAAACGUUAUUCGGAAUUACUGGGCUUAAAGGGUGCGUAGGCUGCGCAGAAAGUUGGGUGUGAAAUCCCUCGGCUCAACCGAGGAACUGCGCCCAAAACUACUGUGCUCGAGGAAGACAGAGGUGAGCGGAACUUAGGGUGGAGCGGUGAAAUGCGUUGAUAUCCUAAGGAACACCCGUGGCGAAAGCGGCUCACUGGGUCUUUUCUGACGCUGAGGCACGAAAGCUAGGGUAGCGAACGGG